AGGCGAAACGCUCUGAGCGUCUCUGCGGCGUGGUGGCCGCGGACUGAUGAUGCCAGCCGCAU
rnacentral:hammerhead_ribozyme from 2 species